CCCUUAGAUGUUCUGGGCCGCACGCGUGCUACACUGAGUGGAUCAGCGGGUCAGGUUGCGCGAAAGUGUUUCCUAAUCUUGAAAUCCGCUCGUGAUGGGGAUUGACGGUUGCAAUUUUCCGUCAUGAACGAGGAAUACCUUGUAAGCGCGGGUCAUCAUCCCGCGCUGAAUACGUCCCUGCCCUUUGUACACACCGCCCGUCGCUCCUACCGAUUGAGUGGUCCAGUGAGGCUUUGGGAUCUGAGCGGAAAGAGCGUUUCGCUGUUUCUGCUCGGAAAACUCAGUCGAACCUUAUCAUUUAGAGGAAGGAGGAGUCGUAACA
rnacentral:rRNA from 1 species